rnacentral:rRNA from 1 species
CCUAAGCUUCAGCUACACACGACCGUACCGCAAACCGACACUGGUGCGCGAGAUGAGUAUUCUAAGGCGCUUGAGAGAACUCUGGAGAAGGAACUCGGCAAAUUGACACCGUAACUUCGGAAGAAGGUGUGCCUUUAGUAGGUGAACCAUUUACUUGGGGAGCCCAAUGAGGCCGCAGAGAAUCGGUGGCUGCAACUGUUUAUUAAAAACACAGCACUCUGCAAAGACGAAAGUCGACGUAUAGGGUGUGACUCCUGCCCGGUGCUGGAAGAUUAAAUGAUGGGGUGCAAGCUCUUGACUGAAGUCCCAGUAAACGACGGCCGUAACAAUAACGGUCCUAAGGUAGCGAAAUUCCUUGUCGGGUAAGUUCCGACCUGCACGAAUGGAGUAAUGAUGGCCACACUGUCUCCUCCAGAGACUCAGCGAAGUUGAAAUGUUUGUGAUGAUGCAAUCUCCCCGCGGAAAGACGGAAAGACCCCAUGAACCUUUACUGUAGCUUUACAUUGGACUUUGAACAGAUCUGUGUAGGAUAGGUGGGAGGCUUUGAAACCAGGACGCUAGUUUUGGUGGAGCCAACGUUGAAAUACCACCCUGGUGUGUUUGAGGUUCUAACCUUGGCCCGUUAUCCGGGUCGGGGACAGUGUAUGGUGGGCAGUUUGACUGGGGCGGUCUCCUCCCAAAGUGUAACGGAGGAGUUCGAAGGUACGCUAAAUACGGUCGGAAAUCGUGUUGAUAGUGCAUUGGCAUAAGCGUGCUUGACUGCGAGACUGACAAGUCGAGCAGGUACGAAAGUAGGACAAAGUGAUCCGGUGGUUCUGUAUGGAAGGGCCAUCGCUCAACGGAUAAAAGGUACUCUGGGGAUAACAGGCUGAUACCGCCCAAGAGUUCAUAUCGACGGCGGUGUUUGGCACCUCGAUGUCGGCUCAUCUCAUCCUGGGGCUGUAGCCGGUCCCAAGGGUAUGGCUGUUCGCCAUUUAAAGAGGUACGUGAGCUGGGUUUAAAACGUCGUGAGACAGUUUGGUCCCUAUCUUCCGUGGGCGCUGCAAGAUUGAGAGAGCCUGCUCCUAGUACGAGAGGACCGGAGUGGACGCACCUCUGGUGUAUCGGUUGUCACGCCAGUGGCAUUGCCGAGUAGCUAAGUGCGGAAGAGAUAACCGCUGAAAGCAUCUAAGCGGGAAACUCGUCUCAAGAUGAGUCUUGCCGGGGCCUUGAGCCCCCUGAAGAGUCGUUCGAGACCAGGACGUU